GUGGCCGUAGCUCAGAUGGUAGAGCCCCGGAUUGUGAUUCCGGUUGUCGUGGGUUCGAGUCCCAUCGGCCACC
rnacentral:tRNA from 1 species